GACGAGCGCUGGCGGCGGGCUUAACACAUGCAAGUCGAACGGCCAGGCCCUGCUGUGGUGGGGUGCUCGGUUGGCGAACGGGUGAGAAACACGUGAGUAACCUGCCCUUGACUUUGGGAUAACUUCAGGAAACUGGGGCUAAUACCGGAUAGGAGCUCCUGCUGCAUGGUGGGGGUUGGAAAGUUGCGGCUGGUGGGGAUGGACUCGCGGCUUAUCAGCUUGUUGGUGGGGUAGUGGCUUACCAAGGCUUUGACGGGUAGCCGGCCUGAGAGGGUAACCGGCCCCGUUGCGUCUGAGCUACGGCCCAGCCUACUACGGUAGGCAGCGGUGGGGUAUAUUGCACUGUGGGCGGAAGCCUGAUGUAGCACCGCCGCGUGGGGGAUGUCGGCCUUCGGGUUGUAAACCGCUGCCGCCUGAGCCGAAGCGUUAGUGACGGUAAUCGGUGAAGAAGCACCGGCUAACUACGUG
rnacentral:rRNA from 1 species